UACGGGGGGGGCAAGCGUUGUUCGGAAUUACUGGGCGUAAAGGGCUCGUAGGCGGCCAACUAAGUCAGACGUGAAAUCCCUCGGCUUAACCGGGGAACUGCGUCUGAUACUGGAUGGCUUGAGGUUGGGAGAGGGAUGCGGAAUUCCAGGUGUAGCGGUGAAAUUCGUAGAUAUCGGGAGGAACACCGGUGGCGAAGGCGGCGACCUGGGUCGAUACUGACGCUGAGGUGCGAAAGCGUGGGGAGCAAACAGG
rnacentral:rRNA from 1 species